CCUUUCCCUGGAGGGGCUUUGCGCGUGGCGAGUCUGUGUCCUCCCUGUCCCUCCGAGCAGAGAGCCUCCCCGUAUCUGGACCGGGGAGGAGCAGACGCUGGACAGGUUUCUGGGAGAAUGCUGGCAAUUCCCAGGAAGAUACGUGGAGAACGGAAAGGUUGCUACACCCAAAUAGUGGAGCAAAGCUAUGAUUAUGGAGGAUUGGACCUGCAAACUCCAGAACAGAGUUCUGCCCUCUGAGGACCCUGCCCUUUCCCAAAAGGGAUAUCUUGAGAAGGAAAGUAUGGCUGCUCUUUGCUGGACAGCAGAGUCCCAGAACCCCAUGCAGGUGUUUUAGGGCUUUACGUCAUUCAAGGAUGUGGCUGUGAACUUCACUGGGAAGAAUGGAGAGAACUGGACCCUGCUCAGAGAGUCUUGUACAGAGAUGUAAUGCUGUAGAACUAUAGGAACCUGGUCUUCUUGGGAUUUCCAUUUUCCAAACCUGCUAUCAUCUCCCAGUGGGAAGAAGUGGUAAGCCCAUGAAUGCAAAUGCAGGAGGGAGAGGUGCCAAGAAGCAGCUGUACAUG
rnacentral:sRNA from 1 species